rnacentral:rRNA from 1 species
CCUACGGGAGGCAGCAGUGGGGAAUAUUGCACAAUGGGGGAAACCCUGAUGCAGCGAUGCCGCGUGGAGGAAGAAGGUUUUCGGAUUGUAAACUCCUGUUGAAGAGGACGAUAAUGACGGUACUCUUUUAGAAAAGCUCCGGCUAACUACGUGC